AGAAGUCAGAGUUGAGAGACAGAGGCACCCCGGACAGAGACGUGAAGCACUGAAUAAAUAGAUCAAAAUGACUGAAAAAGCCCCAGAGCCACAUGUGGAGGAGGAUGACGAUGAUGAGCUGGACAGCAAGCUCAAUUAUAAGCCUCCACCGCAGAAGUCCCUGAAAGAGCUGCAGGAAAUGGACAAAGAUGAUGAGAGUCUAAUUAAGUACAAGAAAACCCUGCUGGGAGAUGGUCCUGUAGUAACAGAUCCGAAAGCCCCCAAUGUCGUAGUCACCCGGCUCACCCUGGUUUGUGAGAGUGCCCCAGGACCAAUCACCAUGGACCUUACUGGUGAUCUGGAAGCCCUCAAAAAAGAAACCAUUGUGCUAAAGGAAGGUUCCGAAUAUAGAGUCAAAAUUCACUUCAAAGUAAGUAUCCGGCCUUGUGUGUUUUUGUAAAGUUUAAAUCUUUUCUUUAAUCAGUGACUACAUUUCUUGCAUGAUCAUGUUGAGGUACUUUUUUUUUGUUUCUCCCCCAGUACCCUCAAGCUGGGUCUGGAAUGUCCUCUUCCCAGCCCUGAGGGCUACCUGUUGAGACCUACCCUUGCCUCCU
rnacentral:sRNA from 1 species